AACGGUCUAUACCUGCGGUACCUGCGGAGGGAUCAUUACAGAGUUCGUGCCCUCUGGGUAGAUCUCCCACCCACUGUUUUCCUUACGACCGUUGCUUUGGCGGGCCGCCGGCCCUGCCCGGCCGCCGGCGCCCAGCUGGCGCGCGCCCGCCAGAGGCCCUCCAGACUCUGAAUGUUAGCGUCGUCUGAGUACCACAUAAUAAGUUAAAACUUUUAGCAACGGAUCUCUAGAUCGGAAGAG
rnacentral:misc_RNA from 1 species